rnacentral:lncRNA from 1 species
CAGUUUGAUCUCAGACUGCUGUGCUAGCAAUCAGCGAGACUCCGUGGGCGUAGGACCCUCCGAGCCAGGUGCGGGAUAUAGUCUCGUGGGGCGCUGUUUUUUAAGCCGGUUGGAAAAGCACAGUAUUCGGGUGGGAGUGACCCGAUUUUCCAGAUGCGUCCGUCACCCCUUUCUUUGACUCGGAAAGGGAACUCCCUGACCCCUUGCGCUUCCCAAGUGAGGCAAUGCCUCGCCCUGCUUCGGCUCGCGCACGGUGCGUGUACCCACUGACCUGUGCCCACUGUCUGGCACUCCCUAGUGAGAUGAACCCGGUACCUCAGAUGGAAAUGCAGAAAUCACCCUUCUUCUGCGUCGUUCACGCUGGGAGCUGUAGACCGGAGCUGUUCCAAUUCGGCCAUCUUGGCUCCUCCCCUGGACUCUUUAUUUCUUAAGGACACAUGACAAAGAAGCCAGAAUUACCAUGUAGGAAGUAUGGACUCCUUGAAGCCACUGUACAGACCAAAAAGCCUCAGCUGUUACAGCCGCGAGCUGUUCAACUUUCAGCCCAGGCACUAGACAUGAGAGCUCAUUCUAAGGAUUAUGGAGAUAAACCAUGGAAAGGGGUAUUGAGUUUGAGCAAAUGGAAUGGAAUGUGCUGGAACUGGUCCUUGCAGCAUCCUCCUGACACCUUGGGUCUAUUUGCAUAGUGCAGGUGGCUGAGAUGUCACUAGGCUCUUGAGAGACUUCAGGAACAAGUUGAGGGUUCUGCCUGUCAUCUGAGUUUAUGUACCAUGUACAAGACAACCUCACACUGUUUCUAACAUGAAAUGUUAAAAAUUGUUAUAUCUUUUUCAAAAGGGAGAACCCUUUCUGAUUAGUAAGAAGAAUCGGCCAGGCGCAGUGGCUCACACCUGUAAUCCCAGCACUUUGGGAGGCCGAGGUGGGUGGAUCACUUGAGGUCAGGAGUCCAAGACCAGCCUGGCUAACAUGAUGAAACCCCGUCUCUACUAAAAAUACAAAAAUUAACCGGGAGUGGUGGCAGGUGCCUGUAAUCCCAGCCACUAGGGAAGAUGAGGCACACGAAUCUCUUGAAUCCCGGAGUUGGAGAUUGUAGUGAGCCAAGAUCGCGCCACUGCAGUCCAGCCUGGGUCACAGAGUGAGACUCUCUCAAAAAAUAAAAAUAAAUUUAAAAAAAUAAAAAGAAUCUUAAUUUUUAAAGUUAGUUGAAAAUGUGAAUCCUUUUUAGGUUAAAAUGGGCCUUGCUCUUUUGUUUACUCAGGGCAAAGUGGAAAGGAGGAGACAAUCACUGGUAGGUCUCUGGUAUGCGUGUUCUAGAGUGGGUACAAAUGACCAUUUGAUGAGUUGUUUCUAGGAACUUUAUACAUACCAUGAGAACUGAUGAAAAAUCUCAUUAAUUCCUUAGGAACAUUACCUCCCUUAAUGAAAGGAAAACAGCCUAUUGGCUCUCUAAUAGUAAUCAAGUGAAGUGUGGAUAAUUCUAGACUUUUAUUUUUAAUCACCACUUAUAGGAAGCUGUACUUUUUACCACUAGGGUGUAACCAGAAACUAUUACAAGCAAUUUAAUUGCAAUGUGGAUCCCCCUUUUCUGUAAAGAUUUCAUUCUAACUUGGGAUUACCUUCUUGAUCAAGGAGGCUUUAUCAGAUAAUCCUGACAUCUCAGUUACAGAGCAAGCAAAACUUUGCCUCCAUGCUCUUAGGUCCUCUGGUUGGGCCUGAGAAUUAAAUUGGCAUAAAAUAUAUUAACAGGAGAAAAAUACACAGACUUUUUACAUGUACAUGGGAGCUGCCAUAGGAAAAUAAAGACCCUAAGAAGUGGUAAAAACCCAAAUGCUUAUAUAGCAGAUUGAAUAAAGAGUGACAAUUGUGGAAAAGUAACUAAAAUGUGUGGGGAGGCUCAAGGAAGAUAAGAGUUAUUUUAACAAGGUCUGUUUGUACAGGUUUUUUUUUAGUCUCAACUCCUCAUCUCCGGUGACAAGAAUGUUUCUUCUCUUCUGGUACAGGGAGCGCAUCUUUCACAUGGGAGUUUUUGUCUCCUGUUUGCAGGAAGAAAAGAGGAGAUUGGAAUGCCCUUCUUGCAUUUGCUGUUUUUCAAGGGCCUUUAGCUCAAAAUAAUCUUUACACCAAACUAGCAUAUUUUGGGGUGACAUAUUCUGCCACCCUUCACAGUCUGUGAUGGUUAAUUUUAUGUGUCAGCUUCUCUAGGGUAAGGGAAGUCCAUAUAACUGGUAAAACAUUAUUUCUGGGUGUGUCUUUGAGGAUGUUGCUGGAAAAGAUUAGCAUUUGAGUCAGUGGACUAAGUAAGAAAAUCACUAACAUGGGCAGGCAUCGUCCUAUCCAUUGAGGGUCAGAAUAGAACAAAAAGGCAGAGAAAGAAUGAAUUCUCUUUUUUUGAGCUGGGGCAUCUAUCUUCUCCUGACUUCAGGUAUCAGAGUUUCUGGUUCUCAGGUCUUUGGACUUGGCCUGAAUUUCACUGCCUGCUUUCCUGUUUCUCCAGUUUGCAGAAGGCAGAUCAUGAGACUGCUAACCCUCUAUUAGCACAUUAGUCCAUUCCCAUAAUUGAUGGGGGGUGUGUGUGUGUGUGUGUGUGUGUGUGUGUGUGUGUGUGUGUUGGGAGCUAUCUCCUCUUUUGUUUUUUUUUUUCUCUGAAGAACACUAACAUACAGCUUCUUAUACAAAUAAACUGAUGUUUAAAAACUUCUAUGUUCAUUUAAAUGAUUUUAAAUUAUGUAUUAAACCUCUAUGUUCAAUAAAUAAACUACCACGCUUAAAUUUUUAC